UACGUAGGGUGCGAGCGUUUAAUCGGAAUUACUGGGCGUAAAGCGUGCGCAGGCGGUUUUCCAAGACAGAUGUGAAAUCCCCGGGCUCAACCUGGGAAUGGCAUUUGUGACUGGAAGGCUAGAGUGUGUCAGAGGGGGGUAGAAUUCCACGUGUAGCAGUGAAAUGCGUAGAGAUGUGGAGGAACACCGAUGGCGAAGGCAGCCCCCUGGGUCAAAACUGACGCUCAUGCACGAAAGCGUGGGGAGCAAACAGG
rnacentral:rRNA from 1 species